rnacentral:tRNA from 1 species
GCCAGCAUAGCUCAGUUGGUAGAGCACUUCCAUGGUAAGGAAGAGGUCAUCGGUUCGAUCCCGAUUGCUGGCU